rnacentral:rRNA from 1 species
UACGUAGGGUGCGAGCGUUGUCCGGAAUUAUUGGGCGUAAAGAGCUCGUAGGCGGCUUGUCACGUCGGGUGUGAAAGCCCGGGGCUUAACCCCGGGUCUGCAUUCGAUACGGGCUAGCUAGAGUGUGGUAGGGGAGAUCGGAAUUCCUGGUGUAGCGGUGAAAUGCGCAGAUAUCAGGAGGAACACCGAUGGCGAAGGCAGGUCUCUGGGCCAUAACUGACGCUGAGAAGCGAAAGCAUGGGGAGCGAACAGG